rnacentral:tRNA from 2 species
GCCCGAGUGGUGGAAUUGGUAGACACGCCACUUUGAGGGGGUGGUACUGGGUAUUUAUGGUGUAUGGGUUCAAAUCCCGUCUCGGGCA